UCCCUGGUGGCCUAGUGGUUAGGAUUUGGUACUUUCACUGCUGUGGCCCAGGUUCAGUCCCUGGCCAGGGAA
rnacentral:tRNA from 1 species